ACGUAGGGUGCGAGCGUUAAUCGGAAUUACUGGGCGUAAAGGGCGUGUAGGCGGCACGGUAAGUCAACCGUGAAAGCUCCCGGCUAAACUGGGAGAGGUCGGAUGAGACUGCCGAGCUAGAGGGUCGUAGAGGGGUGUGGAAUUCCGGGGGUAGUGGUGAAGUGCGUAGAGAUCCGGAGGAACACCAGAGGCGAAGGCGGCACCCUGGACGACACCAGACGCUGAGACGCGACAGCACGGGGAGCGAGCGG
rnacentral:rRNA from 1 species